GAUGAACGCUGGCGGCGUGCUUAACACAUGCAAGUCGAACGGAAAGGCCCAAGCUUGCUUGGGUACUCGAGUGGCGAACGGGUGAGUAACACGUGGGUGAUCUGCCCUGCACUUCGGGAUAAGCCUGGGAAACUGGGCCUAAUACCGGAUAGGACGAUGGUUUGGAUGCCAUUGUGGAAAGUUUUUUCGGUGUGGGAUGAGCUCGCGGCCUAUCAGCUUGUUGGUGGGGUAAUGGCCUACCAAGGCGUCGACGGGUAGCCGGCCUGAGAGGGUGUACGGCCACAUUGGGACUGAGAUACGGCCCAGACUCCUACGGGAGGCAGCAGUGGGGAAUAUUGCACAAUGGGCGCAAGCCUGACGCAGCGACGCCGCGUGGGGGAUGACGGCCUUCGGGUUGUAAACUCCUUUCGCUAGGGACGAAGCGUUUUUGUGACGGUACCUGGAGAAGAAGCACCGGCUAACUACGUG
rnacentral:rRNA from 1 species